UAGGAAUAACUAUGUAACUGUAUCUCUAAUUCUUUUCUAAUUCUAUGUUUAUAUGAGAACAUGCUGAGGCUUCAGACCCUUGCCUCGGCUCUUGCGGGGUUCCUCCCCACCACAUGCUCACAAGCACCUUUCUAAUGUAGAUAAAAGCCAUCGAGGAAGACUCUCCCUCGUCUUGCUGUCUGAAAUUACUCAUCCUCAUGACCAUUUGUUGCAUGACGAUCUUUCCUUGGGAGGAGGCAGGGUGCCAUGGGAAUAUUAACGUCAUCUAGGCAGUCAGGAAGGGAAGGCUUCCUGGAGGAAGGGACAUUCCAGCUGAGCUGCAAAGAAUGCUCAGGAAGGGGAGGAGUCGGAAAUGCUUAUGAGAAAAGGGAGAACGUGUUCUGGGGGCGGGGUGUGACUGCGUGGAAAUAAACCAGGGCAGGGCCUGCUUGAAAAUCUGAGCUUCUGCAUUGCUGGGUGGUGGCGUGAGAUGCAGAGAGAGGCACCAGAUGCUGAUGUUUGUUCUCUGUGUGGCAGCUUAGAGAAUGGAGUAGAUAGGAGGGAGGCCAGGUGAGAUCCUGCCUGCCAGGCAGCUGCCUCUUGUGGUUACCAUGGAAACGUUAGCCUGCAGACCCAGCAGCCUCUAGUCCAGCCCCUCUUAUUAAGGACGACAAGGCUAAGAACCAGACAGAGGAAGAGAUUUGCUCUUCCCUGCUGGCGGCCUGGAAACUUCUGUCAGAAAACAUUGCAGUAGAACACACACGAGAUAAAAGUCGCUAUUUACUUUGCAAUCAUUUUAUUUAGUAUUAUUAUUAUUUUAGACACGAUCUCUCUCUGUUGCCCAGGCUCAGUGUGAUCUUGGCUCACUGCAACCUCCGCCUCCCAGGCUCAAGCGAUCCUGCCUCCUCAGAAUCCUGAGUAGCUGGGACCACAGGUGCACACCACCUUGCCUGGCUAAUUUUUGUAUUUUUUGUAGAGACAGAGAGUAUCACCAUGUUGCCUGGGUAGGUCUCGAACUCCUGGGCUCAAGCGAUCCUCCCACCUCAGUCUUCCAAAGUGCUGGAAUUACAGACUGAAUUCCUGAGGGUGGAGAGGAUGUGUCUUGUUUCCACUGCCAGCGUUGUCCGGUCCAACCGGCAAGAAGUGGUUGCUGAUUUUGGGAGACUCCUUGCUCUCCUUCCUUCUUUGCCCGGGUCUUGGGUGCUGACCUCAUCAAAGGGCAGCCUGGGGUUCCUCUUGGCAUAACCAGCACAUAGCUGGUUAUGCACACUGCACGUCGCCCAGUUCCUGGCUUGGAGGGAGAGCGCUCACGUUUGAUGGUUACAGCAAUGGACAGGAACCCAUAGCCAGGGGCUUCGAUGCCUCUGUGCCUGAUGGGAAGCUGAGAAGGAAUUGACAGAGCUCUUUUUGCUUUGGGUCACUAGCGCCCCGUGGCUUCAGCGUUUCUUUGUGCUGGAGCAAGUGCAGUUGCCAGGACCACAGAGGAAGGAGAUGGAGGAAUGGCCUCAGGCGUCUCAGAGGACGGCACUUAUUGCCCCCAGUGUCAUCCGCCAAAGACCUUUUCAAUUACACCAGAUGCAUUGGCUCUAGGCAGCCUCAGCUUCCUGUCACCACGGACUCUGUUUAAUGUCUCAGCUGGACUUGGCUGCGUCGGAGAUUGCAGGGAAUAUGGCUGGUCCACUUGGGUGGCUUUGCACAUGGCCAUCCUGUACGUAUGCCUUUCUGCCAGCCUGGCAGCCUCUCCCUUCGUCUGCCUUGUCCUUGGAAAUGCAUCAGCAGGGGGAGCUGGAUCUAUCUUAAACCUGACGGAAAGCAGACGUCCUUGCAUGCAGGGGAGCAAGCUGCCUCGUUGGGUUUUCCUGGAAUAGCUCAGAUGGCUGUUAUUUUAUUCGUUGAAAUGGAGAUGAGUUGCUAAAUGUACCAGUUAAAUGUGAUUUAAAUUGUAUAUCGUUGUCAAGUUUUUCACAUAAAUUCACUAAUUAAAAAAAAAUUCUUUGCACAGA